rnacentral:rRNA from 1 species
CCUACGGGAGGCAGCAGUGGGGAAUUUUGGACAAUAGGGGCAACCCUGAUCCAGCCAUUCCGCGUGAGUGAAGAAGGCCUUCGGGUUGUAAAGCUCUUUCGCAAGGGAAGAAAACUUAUGAUCGAAUAAAUCAUGAGGUUGACGGUACCUUGAUAAGAAGCACCGGCUAACUACGUGCCAGCAGCCGCGGUAAU